rnacentral:rRNA from 1 species
GGCGUAACCAUAGCAAAGCUUACGCGUUUUAAAACGAAAACGCAUUUGUUUAAACGGGGCCUAAGACUGAGUUACCUGGAUGGGAGACCACAUAGGAAAUCUAGGGUUGCUGCCG